rnacentral:rRNA from 1 species
UACGUAGGGUGCAAGCGUUGUCCGGAAUUAUUGGGCGUAAAGAGCUCGUAGGUGGCCUGUCGCGUCGGCUGUGAAAACUCGGGGCUCAACUCCGAGCUUGCAGUCGAUACGGGCAGGCUAGAGUUCGGCAGGGGAGACUGGAAUUCCUGGUGUAGCGGUGAAAUGCGCAGAUAUCAGGAGGAACACCGGUGGCGAAGGCGGGUCUCUGGGCCGAUACUGACACUGAGGAGCGAAAGCGUGGGGGAGCGAACAG